CAGACUUUCUUUUUCACAUUUCCCACAUACCUUUGUAAUUUUCCAGUUAUAUUCCAUUGGAAACAUCCAAGUUUGGUUAAAUAUCAGCAACAGAAAACAGGAUACCUACCUAGAAAUCCAAAGGAGAUCAGAAUGUGUGGGUGACCAGGAUUCAGAGUCUUCAAAUAAUACAGCCAGAAGCAUUGUUUGCUCAGGACAGCACUUCUGACCACAUAUCUCCAAAGUACUCUGAAGCUUGAAUCUUCAGUCUAAGAAGUUGGAGAACGUUUACUCCUUUCCUGUCUGAUGUUUCUGAAGGAACUAGGAAGGCUGCUGUGAUGUGAUUUCAGUAACAGCAAUCAAAAUAAUUCCUGAAUACUACAGGACUGUCAUGGAGGGAUAGUUUUCAUUUCUGCAGCCCUUCACAUCAGCUUUUGAUAUCUUCAGAUCAAACUAGAUAUUUUGAAGUUCCAAAAUGAG
rnacentral:lncRNA from 1 species